rnacentral:snRNA from 1 species
GUUUUUGUUUUGGCAGCACAUAUACUAAAAUUGGAACGAUGCAGAGAAGAUUAGCAAGGGUGAUAUGCAAAUUCGUGAAGCAUUCCCAAAAAAA